rnacentral:tRNA from 1 species
UAAAAAAUUGCUAUUAAAUUUAUAAUGUGGGCGUGGUGAAAUUGGUAGACACGUCAGACUUAGGAUCUGAUGCCAUUAGGUAUAAGGGUUCGAAUCCCUUCGCCCGCAC